ACGUAGAGUGCAAGCGUUAAGCGGAAUUACUGGGCGUAAAGCGUGCGCAGGCGGGUUGGAAAGAAAGGGGUGAAAUCCCAGAGCUUAACUUUGGAACUGCACUUUUAACUGCCAAGCUAGAGUAUGUCAGAGGGGGGUAGAAUUCCACGUGUAGCAGUGAAAUGCGUAGAGAUGUGGAGGAAUACCGAUGGCGAAGGCAGCCCCCUGGGAUAAUACUGACGCUCAUGCACGAAAGCGUGGGGAGCAAACAGG
rnacentral:rRNA from 1 species